rnacentral:rRNA from 1 species
CAGUAGCCACGGGAAUACGAAGGGUGCAAGCGUUACUCGGAAUUACUGGGCGUAAAGCGUGCGUAGGUGGUGGUUUAAGUCCGUUGUGAAAGCCCUGGGCUCAACCUGGGAAUUGCAGUGGAUACUGGGUCACUAGAGUGUGGUAGAGGAUAGUGGAAUUUCCGGUGUAGCAGUGAAAUGCGUAGAGAUCGGAAGGAACAUCUGUGGCGAAGGCGACUAUCUGGGCCAACACUGACACUGAGGCACGAAAGCGUGGGGAGCAAACAGGAUUAGAGACCCGAGUAGUCCCUGUCUCUUAUAC